AUGGGUUUCCGAGCGUGUGGUGACAGGGUGAUUGUUAUUGGGCCUCCAAUCAAUUCUACUGGUGAAAAGGUGGUUGAGCUUCAUUCAUGGACCCCAGAUGGGCAACCGCCCGUGUGGAAUUUGCUUGCCACACGGCCAGAAGGAGACUACCUGAUUUUGUGCGCAGUGAUGAGUUGCUGA
rnacentral:rRNA from 1 species